rnacentral:misc_RNA from 1 species
AGAAUCCCCGAGAAACGCCGGCGAAGGCUACACGUGCUGUCAACCACGACAGGUCACCAGGUGCCAACAGCUCUCUUCAGCUCCUUUGUUCAUUGCGCACUCACCAGGGCCCGCGGAAAGGGAGUAACGGUGCAACACCAACGUCGACGGCGCAGAUAAACCAUGCUCCGCUUCACCGCAGUCCGCCGCCUCGGCAGCCCAACGUACGGAAGUUGGCCGUGGCCGUCCAAGCUACCCCUCAAGAAAGACUGGUACUACCGCCUCAGUCGGCGCGAGAGCAUUGCCGAUGAGACGCGGCAGUAUAUGGUAGUCGGGGACUUUCUCCUUUUGUUUGUGCUGAGCUUCUCCAUGUACCGCGUCUACGUGCUGAAUCGCAGCAAUUCCUACCAAACCCAUCUGUGCCACCUAGUGAACUAUCCGCCAGCAAUCAUCGCAAACGAGUUUGACUUCAAUGACAUGAGCGCAAAUCGCGUCGUGGAGAGGAAGGAGUUGGACACGUACCGCGAGAACGUGGUGACAUGCAAAAGCUCUGGUAAGCCCAUCGAAUCCAUAAUCUUUAACUACUAGGCGCUCUGCCGGUUCCACACUGUAGUAGCAACGGUUCUUGUUUCAUUUUUUCGUCUCUAGCAGCGUGUAUUUCUGUUUGUCUCACUCUUCGCUGAGAAUCUGCGAUCGACUUUAUUACACCUCCGCACUC